rnacentral:lncRNA from 14 species
GGAUCUUCGUGCUGCCAACAUCCUGGUGGGAGACAACCUGGUGUGCAAGAUCGCUGACUUCGGCCUCGCUCGCCUCAUUGAGGACAAUGAGUACACAGCACGCCAGGGUGAGCUGCUCUGGUGCCAUGGUGCUGCUGGAGCCACUGCCCUGUGCCCCCUGUGCUGCAUCCCAGCAUGGGGCUGGAGAUGGUCACCACCAGUGAUGGGUACUGCAGGUGAUGGGUACCACAGGUGAUGGGUACUGCAGGUGAUGGGGAAGCAGGCUAAAAAUGCUACAGGGGCUGACAAGGAAGCUGGAGAGGGGCUUGGGACAAGGGAUGUAGGGACAGGCCAAGGGGAAUGUCUUGAACCUGCCCAAGGGGAGACUGAGCUGAGCUCUUAGGCAGAAGCUGUUCCCUGGGAGGGUGCUGAGGCGCUGGCACAGGGUGCCCAGAGAAGCUGUGGCUGCCCCAUCCCUGGCAGUGCUCAAGGCCAGGUUGGACACAGGGGCUUGGAGCAGCUGCUCCAGUGGAAGGGGUCCCUGCCCGUGGCAGGGGUUGGAGCUGGAGGAGCUUUAAGGUCCCUUCCAACCCAGACCAGGCUGGGAUUCUGUGGGUGUCCCAUAUGCAGGAUGCCUUGGGUGCUGGAUGCCCCAGUGCACAGUGUCUCAGUGCAGCAUCCUCCCAUUGCAGGGCACCUUGGAUGCAGAACACCCUCAGUACAGGGCUGUCCCCAGUGCUGGCUGCCCCGAUGUGGGGUACCCCAGUGCAGAGGACUACCCCAGCUCACCUCCCUCCCUCGCAGGUGCCAAGUUCCCCAUCAAAUGGACUGCUCCAGAGGCUGCUCUCUUUGGGAAGUUCACCAUCAAGUCGGAUGUCUGGUCCUUCGGCAUCCUCCUGACAGAGCUGGUGACCAAAGGCCGGGUGCCCUACCCAGGGAUGAACAACCGGGAGGUGCUGGAGCAGGUGGAGCGCGGGUACCGCAUGCAGUGCCCCGGGAGCUGCCCCCCAUCCCUGCACGAGGUGAUGGUGCAGUGCUGGAAGCGGGAGCCCGAGGAGCGUCCCACCUUCGAGUACCUCCAGUCCUUCCUCGAGGACUACUUCACGGCCACCGAGCCCCAGUACCAGCCAGGGGACAACCAGUGACCCCCCCCGGCUUUGGGGUGGCCUCGGGGGGUGUUGCUCCCUUUGGCGGUGACCCCCCAAACCCACCCACUGGGAGGUGCUCGGGGUGCCCCAUGGAGGACAUGGGGCUUUGCACAAGGAUUCUGGCCCCAGAGAGGGGGCAAAGUGGUGUGUCCCCCCCCUUGUUGCCUUCACAGCC